CCCUCCCCCAGAUUCCCGGCGCCCCGCCUUCCCUGAAGCUCAUAAAAGCGCAGGUCCCCCGCCUAGGCAGCCACUGGACACCUGCAACUGCCUACAGGACUGAAAGGUGAGGCACACAGGGCUGGACGAAGCUGCGUGGGGGGAGGGGGUGGUCUGGGGGACCCGGGUUCCUGUGAAUGGGGCUGGUUUGCAGGUCAGGGCAUGGACAUUUUCCUAAUAGGCGACGAAGACUGUGAAGUUUGACGGUCUGGAAAGCAGAGGCCAGCCGCGCUGACUAUCUGGGAGGUAAGUUCUGGAAACAUGCCACGAGGUGGGGUGCAGGUAUAAGUCCUAGUUAAGACCUCUCUGUGUCUCCCCUACCUAGCGCCGGAAAGCGCGCCUGGAAGAAGAGUGGAGGGGGAAAAAACUGUACUGGUUCCCAAGAGAGAGAAGAACAGAGGGGAUUGGAGUGACCUGGGGAGGAGAGGAAAGCAAAUCAAGUUUCUUCAGCGCCGAGGCGGAGAACAGCUCUCCGAAGACCACGGAAGGAAAUUGCUAUUUAUUUCAGCACCUAGACUCCGGACAGCGCCGCUCGGGGUCCAGGAAGUAAGCCACAACCUGCUUCAGCACCAGAGCUCCGGACAGCUCCUAAGGAUUUCGGGGCCGACUUCAUUUCAGAACCAGGACGCUGGAUAGCUUCCCUGGUAGCGGGAAGCCCUUGUACUCACAAGGAGGCGGGGCGGGGUGGGGAGGGGAGGGGGCGGCGGGGGGCGGCGGGUAGCGGGGUGGGGGGGGUAAGGGGGGUGGGGGGUGGGGGUGGUGGUACAGAGGGUGGUCUGAAAUGUCUGACGUUUCUGGAGACUUGUUCUUCAUUUAAUGAAUCUCUCAACGAAUUAUUUUUCAGACAAGCAGGUGAGAUACAAGUGCACACACAAAAAAAUCUAAUUUACAACAGCUGGCUGGGAGUUGGGCCUUUGGGGAUCAGACCCUGCCUCUCUCCAGGAGGACCAGAAAUGGAUACCAGGAGACAGUGGAUAACAGGUGUCUUGGCUUAGCUCAGGUGAGGGGACAUAACUCGGUGGGGAUCUAAGACAUGGGGCAGACGGUGGCGAAGAAGACUGGAGCGGUUGUGGUCUAGUGCUGUGUGGAAGACUAGUGAUUUUGUUGUUCUGAUGUACUAUGACAACAAGUCACAGCUUCCUCAUAGCGUGGACUCCCGUCGACCUCCUCCCAAGAUGAACAAGGAAGUGUUGGGGGUGGGGACUCAGGGAGGAAUCACUUCCACCCAGGGGUUGGGCUAAUACCAUGGAACAAGGGCAGGG
rnacentral:lncRNA from 1 species